rnacentral:tRNA from 1 species
AAAGUAAUGAAAUAAAAUUUAUAAUUAGUUUCGACCUAAAAUUAGAGAUUAAAUUCUCCUUACUUUU